AAAAGAAAUUCAUUCCUUUAAAGAAGAAUUUUUUUCUUGGUAAGACUGUCUUCUUUUUUUUUUUAUACAUUUUUUUUUGAUAAAGUAUAUUGUAUAUUUUUGUCAAGUAUUGGACAUUCCUGUAUAUUUUUGUGCAAUAUCAAAUGCAGAUCUUUUUCUCUGUUGUUCAUUCUCUUCAUUGCAUGAAUACUGUUUGUGCAUGUUCAUGUAUUUAAAGUGUAGUUUAUUUACAUCAUUGUUUAAAUGUUGAUGUAAUUGCUUGUUUAAAUAUUUUAAUUUUGUAAGGUGUUAAUUGUAGACAACAGGAUCAGGCUUGGGUUCUUAAAACUUGGAUCAUCCUCUGAUAUAAAGUUAUAACACAAUUCAGUAUUUAAAUUCAAUGAUGUCAAAAGACAUUGAAAUUUUCUGUAGAUAUUAAUGUAUAUUCAUUUAGAAAUACAACUCUCAAUUUGUUUUAACGAUAAGAUUGUAUAAUUAUCAUUUGUUAAUAUUUAUUACCUGUAUGUUUCAUACAUCUCUAAUCAUUGAUCUACUCAAGUACCAUGGAAUGUAAAAAGUAUCUCAUCUUUGAUACGAAGAUAAAAACAUUUUUAAUAAAAUAAUACAACUGUC
rnacentral:misc_RNA from 1 species